UACAGAGGGUGCAAGCGUUAAUCGGAAUUACUGGGCGUAAAGCGCGCGUAGGUGGUUUUGUUAAGUUUGAAUGUGAAAUCCCCCGGGCUCAACCUGGGAACUGCAUCCAAAACUGGCAAGCUAGAGUAUGGUAGAGGGUGGUGGAAUUUCCUGUGUAGCGGUGAAAUGCGUAGAUAUAGGAAGGAACACCAGUGGCGAAGGCGACCACCUGGACUGAUACUGACACUGAGGUGCGAAAGCGUGGGGGAGCAAACAGG
rnacentral:rRNA from 1 species